rnacentral:rRNA from 1 species
UACGAAGGGGGCUAGCGUUGCUCGGAAUCACUGGGCGUAAAGGGUGCGUAGGCGGGUCUUUUAAGUCAGGGGUGAAAUCCUGGAGCUCAACUCCAGAACUGCCUUCGAUACUGAGAGUCUUGAGUCCGGAAGAGGUCGGCGGAACUGCGAGUGUAGAGGUGAAAUUCGUAGAUAUUCGCAAGAACACCAGUGGCGAAGGCGGCCGACUGGUCCGGUUCUGACGCUGAGGCACGAAAGCCAGGGGAGCGAACGGG